rnacentral:rRNA from 1 species
UUUUUUUGGAGGGCAAGUCUGGUGCCAGCAGCCACGAUUCAGCUCAUAGCGUAUAUUAAAGUUGUUGCAGUUAAAAAGCUCGUAGUUGAAUUUCGGGAUCAAUAUUUCGGUCAUGCCGUUGGUAUGCACUGUUAUCAUUGAUUUCUCACCUUCUAAAGAACCGUAAUGCCAUUAAUUUGGUGUUACGGGGAAUUAGGACUGUUACCUUGAAAAAAUUAGAGUGUUUAAAGCAGGCUCACGCUUGAAUACAUUAGCAUGGAAUAAUGAAAUAGGACAUCCGAUUCUAUUUUGUUGGUUUCUAGGAUCGAUGUAAUGAUUAAUAGGGAUAGUUGGGGGCAUUAGUAUUCAAUUGUCAGAGGUGAAAUUCUUGGAUUUAUUGAAGACUAACUACUGCGAAAGCAUUUGUCAAGGAUGUUUUCAUUAAUCAAGAACGAAAGUUAGGGGAUCGAAGACGAUCAGAUACCGUCUAUCUUAACCAUAAACUAUGCCGACUAGGGAUCGGAUGAUGUUAAUUUUAAUGACCCUUCCGCGCCUUACGGGAAACCAAAGUUUUUUGGGUUCA